GGAGAGAUGGCUUAGUGGUUAAGAGCACUGACUGUUAUUCCAGAGGUUCUGAGUUCAAUUCCCAGCAACUACA
rnacentral:tRNA from 1 species